UGUUCUGAUUCUGACAGGAAUCCCCUCCUUGUGCACCCACAGCCUUCUCUCUGAUAGGGCAGUGUGAGAAGCCAAAAUUCCUUGACUUCAUGCAAGCGCUGCUCAGCAGUGACUGAAACAUCAGUGUGUUAUCAACAUUAGCCUCAUCCCAGAUUCAAAGCACAGCACCUUACCAGCUGCUAGGAAGGAAAGUAACUCUAUCCCAACUCAAACCAGGACAAUAUCCACCCUGGGAUAAUAAAUAAAUGAAGACAGAUGAAUAGAUGCUGUGCUUGAGAAUUUUAUCUGAAAACAUCUGAUGGAGAAUGUUCCAGCCAGAGAUAUGCAAAAAGCUUGUAAUGAAACUGCAAGCCAAGUGAAAACAGAGCAACAAGAUAUUGCAUGUAGUAGAGAGUGGCUCCUGCUUCAAGUAGAAGAAAAAGAAGAGAGGGCAACCUCCUGGAAGCAGAUUGGGUCUUGUAUGCUGAGGGAACCCAAAGGAAGCAUCUUCAUGCUCAGUUGUGUUACUGCUGCCAUGUAG
rnacentral:lncRNA from 1 species